CGAACGGAACUGUUUUGAAAGAUCUCUUCGGAAUGAAUUUGAUUUAGUUUAGUGGCGGACGGGUGAGUAACGCGUGAGUAACCUGCCUUCAAGAGGGGGAUAACAUUCUGAAAAGAAUGCUAAUACCGCAUGACAUAUCGGAACCACAUGGUUCUGAUAUCAAAGAUUUUAUCGCUUGAAGAUGGACUCGCGUCCGAUUAGUUAGUUGGUGAGGUAACGGCUCACCAAGACCGCGAUCGGUAGCCGGACUGAGAGGUUGAACGGCCGCAUUGGGACUGAGACACGGCCCAGACUCCUACGGGAGGCAGCAGUGGGGGAUAUUGCGCAAUGGGGGCAACCCUGACGCAGCAACGCCGCGUGAAGGAUGAAGGUUUUCGGAUUGUAAACUUCUUUUAUUAAGGACGAAAAACGACGGUACUUAAUGAAUAAGCUCCGGCUAACUACGUGCCAGCAGCCGCGGUAAUACGUAGGGAGCAAGCGUUGUCCGGAUUUACUGGGUGUAAAGGGUGCGUAGGCGGCUUUGCAAGUCAGAUGUGAAAUCUAUGGGCUCAACCCAUAAACUGCAUUUGAAACUGUAGAGCUUGAGUGAAGUAGAGGCAGGCGGAAUUCCCCGUGUAGCGGUGAAAUGCGUAGAGAUGGGGAGGAACACCAGUGGCGAAGGCGGCCUGC
rnacentral:rRNA from 1 species